AGAGUUUGAUCAUGGCUCAGGAUAAACGCUGGCGGCGUGCUUCAGGCAUGCAAGUCGAACGGACAGUCCGGCUUCGGCCGAACUGUUAGUGGCGGACGGGUGAGUAACACGUAAGUAACCUGCCCGGAAGUGGGGAAUAACAAGCCGAAAGGUUUGCUAAUACCGCAUGUGAAGGCUUUUCCUCGGGAGAGUCUUGAAAGGUGUAAAUCGCUUUCGGAGGGGCUUGCGGUCGAUUAGCUAGUUGGUGGGGUAAUGGCCUACCAAGGCGACGAUCGAUAGCUGGUCUGAGAGGACGGUCAGCCACACGGGGACUGAGAUACGGCCCCGACUCCUACGGGAGGCAGCAGCUAGGAAUCUUGGGAAUGCGCGAAAGCGUGACCCAGCAACGCCGCGUGGGCGAUGAAGGCCUUCGGGUCGUAAAGCCCUUUUGCAGGGGACGAUAGUGACGGUACCUUGCGAAUAAGCCACGGCUAACUACGUGCCAGCAGCCGCGGUAAUACGUAGGUGGCAAGCGUUGUCCGGAUUUACUGGGCGUAAAGGGCGUGCAGGCGGUCUGUUAAGUUCAGGGUGAAAGCUCCCGGCUCAACUGGGAGAGGUCCUUGGAUACUGGCAGACUUGAGGGAGGUAGAGGAGAGUGGAAUUCCCGGUGUAGUGGUGAUAUGCGUAGAUAUCGGGAGGAACACCAGUGGCGAAGGCGGCUCUCUGGGCCUUUCCUGACGCUGAGACGCGAAAGCGUGGGGAGCGAACCGGAUUAGAUACCCUAGUAGUCC
rnacentral:rRNA from 1 species